GAAGAAACUCAAAGCUGCACUUCGCCCUGCAUACUAAGAUCCCUGGCAAUAAAAGAGGAAGAAGAGAAAGAGGAUACCAGCUAUGAAAGCGCAAUUGCUGGAAAUGUUUUCUAUUUAUAAUGUUUUUGAUGAGAUGGCAGCUGGUUCUUUGGCAAUUUUUGCACAUUACUUAUUUUUUACGAGCAAGGAGAAGUAAGAGGCAGAGUGAGUAGCACUGAGCAAGAACAAUAACAGAAGUUUUGCCUGUGUGAGAAGUUAAAUGUGAAGGUGAUGGAAUUUCACUGCUGUCUUUAAGGAGGACACAUUGCUCUACCUGUGGAGCAUCUUCCUAACUACUUAUAGGGAUGACGGACACUAUGUAUCAAGUGCAUCAGGGGAGAAGAGGCCCCCAUCUCACACGUUAAAACUUGAAGGAAGUGGCUUGCAAAUCCAGUGAUCUACCAAGCAAAAAGUUUUUCAGCCUUGUACAACCUCUCUCUUCCCACCUUCCCAAAUGAAUGACUGCCUCAGCUGUGAAACUUUACCAGGAGUUGGACCUCCUGGCUGCUUCUGGGGUGCAGCAUGGAACCAAGACUGGCAGGCUGGGAGCUAUCCAAGAUGCAGCCUCGCGAGGAACAGCAAACCAGGAAGAAUCGUUGGCCCAUCCUGACAUAGGAUGUACACCAGAGACUUAAGAUAGCAGUUAUAACAUCUCUGCUAAGAGCCUGCACCAAGAACUUGGUGAUUUGAUGCAUGUAAUGUAUUCUUAACAACC